AGCUUUAAUAAUUUAAACAAAAUUUUGACCUUGUAAGUCAAGUAUGCGCUAAACGCUUAAAGC
rnacentral:tRNA from 1 species